ACGGGCCUAAGAUCCGGAUUAAUGACCCGCAUAUUUUUUUUUUCCCGACAAUCUCUUUUCUCUAUGAAAACACAAUUGGGUUUUUUCUUCAUCGUCAUCACCAGAAACCCUAAUUUAACACUUCCAUGCCUCCUUUCCAUUAUAUACUUGAGUUUUUUUUCAUCAUCAAAUUCUCUUUUUCUUGAUCUUCGUUUGAAAGCAAGCCCAAUGGGAAUAGCUGCUGGAAGUUCUAAUGGAUUCUCACAAACACUAAUUCUAAAAGGUCAGUAUUCGAUUUCUUGUAAAGUAUUGUUUUCAUGGUGCCACAAACCCUAAUCGUUGCAUACGGAUAUUUCAAUCCUAUCUUAUCAAGAUUCGUCUUUAAUUUGAUUAAUUCAAACGUUUGUGCCACAAACCCUAAUCGUUGCAUACGGACAACAAAUCUGCCCUUGAAACAAUACACAAGGAAAUGUACAGAAUAGAAGGUCAGAUGGAGGAAGUUUAGGACCCGAAGUACGUUUGCGGGAAAGGCGACAUCAACUUCUCGAUCAGAGAUGGAUGAUGACAUAGUGAAUAUAUGGAAUCUCAGAGGCUCAAAAAGUGUAGUGCUGCUGCCUUGGAUAUGAUCUCUAAUGUGUUUGGUAAUGAGAUUUUUUCAGCUAUUGUUCUAUAGAAUUCGGAACCUUAGUUUCGAUAUAAAUCAUGAGUUUAUUGGUAUUAUUCAUGCAGUUUAUUUUCUUUCUUUUUUGUAUGUAUGGCUUUCUGUGUCUCUAUUAACUCUCUAUGAGCCUUAAUGUAUCACUCAUGAUUUUUAUUAAUCUUGACACUUUUGGCAGUAGAUGCAUAAA